rnacentral:rRNA from 1 species
GGAAUUUUUCGCAAUGGGCGCAAGCCUGACGACGCAACGCCGCGUGGAGGAUGAAGGUCUUCGGAUUGUAAACUCCUGUUGCUCGGGACGAAUGGCUCCAACCUAAUACGUUGGAGUGUGACGGUACCGAGUGAGGAAGCCCCGGCUAACUCUGGUCCAGCAGCCGCGGUAAUACAGCGGGGGCAAGCGUUGUUCGGAAUUACUGGGCGUAAAGGGCGCGUAGGCGGCCUGCUAAGUCGAACGUGAAAUCCCUGGGCUCAACCCAGGAACUGCGUCCGAUACUGGUUGGCUUGAAUCCGGGAGAGGGAUGCGGAAUUCCAGGUGUAGCGGUGAAAUGCGUAGAUAUCUGGAGGAACACCGGUGGCGAAGGCGGCAUCCUGGACCGGCAUUGACGCUGAGGCGCGAAAGCCAGGGGAGCAAA